UGGCGGACGGGGUGAGUAAUGUCUGGGAAACUGCCCGAUGGAGGGGGAUAACUACUGGAAACGGUAGCUAAUACCGCAUAACGUCGCAAGACCAAAGAGGGGGACCUUAGGGCCUCUUGCCAUCGGAUGUGCCCAGACGGGAUUAGCUAGUAGGUGGGGUAAUGGCUCACCUAGGCGACGAUCCCUAGCUGGUCUGAGAGGAUGACCAGCCACACUGGAACUGAGACACGGUCCAG
rnacentral:rRNA from 1 species